UUGUGGUGUGGCAGGAGUUUUGGUAGGGAGGAGGCUACAGCAGUGACCCCUAUGAGAAGCUUCUCAAAGCUCCACCAGCUCCAAGUCAGACCCACCUCUGAGUCAAGGCCAAGCCUAUCAGCAAC